rnacentral:sRNA from 1 species
AGUUGUCAACCGAAAAAUUUAAAGUAAUUACGAAUAUUGAAAGUUAGGUUUUUGUAAUUCGCUGCCUUUAUUUCUACCUUAAAAACAAAAAACGGAAUUUUUGAGAAAAGACAAGAAAAUUUUUCCGUAUAAACACACGCAGCGGUGCACAACAAUUUCCAUUAAAUCAAAAAACUCAAACAGCAGAAGCAAACGACAACGUCGUGGACGACGCAACAACAGACAGCAUAGCACAAAAGUGCCUCAUAAAAAAUUCAAAACUCAUACAACAUGAUUGGAUGGACAGUUUUAAGCAUUGCCGUUUCUUUUUCAACUGUCGGAUUGUGCUUCUGCUGACCGACCAGCCAACCAACUGCCACAGAUAGAACAGAGUGUGGGUCUCUUAUAGCCGUCUGAUUUUGAGGGACACCGAAUUUUGUGCAUUUCUUGUCUGCAGCACGUAUGCAGGCAUGAGUGCACCAAAAAAUUACACAACAAACUUCAUGAAAAUCAAAACAAACAACAAUGAAAACAAAUGUAAACAUAUUUUACGAGAGUAGCUCUCCGAUAUUGUAUUCCGGUGCAUGUGGUUUGUAAUUUAAAAGUA